rnacentral:tRNA from 1 species
GCCCUGGUGGUGUAACGGUUAGCAUAACGGACUGUCACUCCGUUGACCCGGGUUCGAAUCCCGGCCAGGGCG